CCCAGGUGAAAGCUUUUCUUCCAGGAGAUGAUGGCCUGGAGACUUUCCCUCAGAUCAUACCACACCUGGCUGAAGAGGAGCUGACCGUGGAGCCAGGCUCCGUCACCCCCCGUGAUAGUGCAUACCCUCAGGAACCAUGCACAGUAGAGGGGCUCCGAGCCAUCGGUCCUGGAGACCCUCUUCUAAGGGGGUGCCCCCGCCCCUGGCUGGACUGCCAGGAAGGAGGGCGCCUGUCUGUCAUCCAAGGAGCAGGGUAGGUGGGUGGGGGAGAGGGGGUGGAGGCACAGGUGGUGCAGGGGAGGUGGUGUAUGUGGCUUCUGGGCUGGCAUGCCAGGGACAUCGCAGGGCAGCUGGCGCUGGGGAGGGUGGCAGGAAAGCAGCGAGCUUUUGCAUUUCAUCCAGCUUAUCCAUUUUAAAGCUGGGACUCCAUUUCUGUUUGCCCUGUAGACUUUCUCACUGCACCCCAUACCCUCCCCUCCCUCCCCUCUCACCCUGUUGAGUCCAGAGUGUCGCCCCCAGCAGCGCUGGCUCAGGAGGCUGCCAGCGAGCCGUGCAUGGGCCCAGGAAGGCCGUAAAUCAAGCACGGCGGCGCACUCUCCAUCUUGAGGAAUUUGGAGGAAAAACAGAUGGUUGUAGCUGGGCGACAUUUACUUUCUGUCUGUCAAUAUUUGAGAGGUUUUAUUACUUUGCAGUGCCAGGUUUUAGAAUAAAUUAAAUGGCUAAUGGAAAUAUUAAAAUAGAAUUAAUUUAACUAAACAAAUACAACUGGGAGAGUCAGUACGAUUUGUUUAGAAGUUACUAAAUUUAUUUUCAAAAUGAAGCCUCAGGGAAGGAAAUAAUUCCUUACCCCCUUGUGUCGGACCUCAGCCAGACAGACUUCACCAGGCACUCUCUGGGGGCCAGGACCUGGGCUGGUGUCAGGCAGCAGCUGGGCUGGCCUGGACAAGCCUGCCCGGGUGCUCACAGCCUGGCAGGGGAGACACGCACAAGCCCCAGCCUUGCCUGGGCUCCCAUCAGGGACUUGCCAAGCACAUGCGCAGGGCUGGGAGGUGGCUCUGGGGAGGCUGGACUCUGCCUGCCACAUCUCCGUCCCAUCCCCCUGUCCCUAAGCGCCUGAGGUUAAAGAUUCAGAGGAUACUUCAGUCCUAUCCCUGCCCUCAGUGAGCUCACAAUUGAGGGAGGGAAGCAAGAAGUUAACAGGUAACAGGCAAGAUGCAGUCAAAUGCCUCUAGCAUUCUAGUGAUGCUAGAGACAUGCUCAGGGUGUGUUGGGAGAGCAUAGGCCAAGAUUUUUGUGUUUUUUAUUAAAGAAAUAUUGAUUUGGUGCCCAUUUUAAUGCUUUGAGACAAAUAUGGAAGCAAUUCUUUGCCCAACAGCACUAACUGCCUCAUGAUGGCCAUGCCUUUUUGCCAGAAACUCCACCAUUAGAAAAUCUUUUCUUAGACUACAGCAUUGCCCUCUGUGUGUCUUUUACAAUGCAAGUGGUGGGACCAUCUACGUCCCCACCCUAAUGCUUUCCUCAGAAGCAGAGAGGUGGGCCCUAGAGGCUGUGGUUCUUGAGAGGGGGUGAAGGUGCAGAGUGGGGAGGUGGCAGUCCAGAAGGUGGGAGGGAGCUGGCCUUCAUCAAGGGUGGUCCAGGGCGUCUUUAUUUAUCACUCACGCAGUCCUGCCCUGGGCUGGGGUGCUGGGAGGGCCCAGUGAUGUCUUCAGACUUCAUCCCACAUGGAUGAGGACCCAUGGGCAAGUGGGCCAGGGCGGGGAGGCCUGACUCACCCUCCAGGAAGAUGAAGAGCCCUGCUACUCUGGGCCUGGGGCACUUCAGGUGCUCAGGAUCACCCUCAACAGUCCUGGAGGGGCCUGGGCCUUCCUGUUUCUCCGGCACACUGCUGCCCCUUUGGGGAAGGACCCAGGAACGUGACUGGCCAUCCUUGCCAUGAGGUUGCAGGGCCUUCCUCCCAGGGACCGCCCUCUCCUCUGGCCGGUGCCUUAGCACCUGACACCAGGCGAGG
rnacentral:lncRNA from 1 species